rnacentral:misc_RNA from 1 species
GCAAUUAAAAGUUUCCAUUACUCAUUAAUAUCUCAUAAUACAUAUAGUCCAUUAUUAAAAGAUUAAUACUACAUCUUAUAUUAAAUUAAUUAAAACAACCUUUGUUGGUAUAAAAUAUCAUAUUUAAACUUCUUUCAUAUGUAGAUAGAUAUUUAAUCACUCUUUAGGGCUUAGGUUUGUUUUGAGUAUAUAUAUAAUCCAAGUGAGCCUCAGCUACCAUCCUUCUAUUUAAACAAACUUCAUCUCUGUCUUCACAUUUCUCCAUCCCCAUCAGCUGUUCAAGAACCAUAAAGGACAAUAUAUUAAAAAUAAGAGAAAAUGCACAAGUACCCCUCAAUCUAUGUCUGAAAUCUUAGAGACACAUUUAUACUGUAUUAAGGUCUUAUUAUCCUCCUAAACUUAUUUUAUAAGUAAUUUUUUACCUCUCUUCGGCCUACGUGUUACUAUCUUGAAAAAAAGUCAACCAGCGUUGGGCCCACAAGAUAGUGUCACGUAGGCUGGAAAGGGUGUAAAAUUAUUUAUAAAAUAAGUUCAGGGGUAAUAGGAUCUUCGUAUAGUAUAAGUGUGCUCUGAGAUUUCGGGCAUAGGUUG